rnacentral:misc_RNA from 1 species
UCUCCGUUGGUGAGCCAGCGGAGGGAUCAUUACAGAGUUGCAAAACUCCCAAACCAUUGUGAACGUUACCUCUCCCGUUGCUUCGGCGGGCGGCCCGGGCCCCGCGCCCGGCGCCCCCCGGCCCCCCGUGGGCGCCCGCCGGAGGUAAACCAAACCCUUGAAUUGCAUGGCCUCUCUGAGGCUGCUGUACUGAAUAAGUCAAAACUUUCAACAACGGAUCUCUUGGUUCUG